GCCAGGUUGGAGGCUGCGCGCGAAGACUGAGGGGCACUUCUGCAGGUAGUUAGGUUGUUACCUGGGACUUCAGGUGCUGAGAAUGUGAGCCAAAUUCUAUAGUAAAAGGGUUACAUGGAAUCCAGAAGGCUGAGGAUCAAAAUGUGAAAUUCAUCUCUCUGCACUGGAUUUGCCCAUCACAAUUUAAAGAAGCGAUGACUGUGAUCUCAGAGGCACCAUGAGCAGGAACUGGGGCAAGUGGAUGGAUUUUAAAAUGUGAAGGGUUUUUGAAGGGUUGCCUUGAGAAGAGACCAUGAGGACGAGGACAGAGAGGGGAAGAUAUUGCCAAACUUUGGCUGUAUGAUCAGGAGCAUGUGCUGGGCUGGGCUGUGGUGCUGAAACAGAAUCUGUUGCUGGGUGAUGUGGAUGUGGUAUGUGUGAAAUAUCUGAAAUUGAAAAUACCCAGGGAGGUCCUAAACAACCCUCUCCUGGAAGACUUUGCAAGAUCUUCAGCAUCCUGCCCUCCUCAUUUUAUGGACAAGGACUCUGAGAGAUGACCCUGAGUUCUACCCGAGCCUCCCAGUACUUAAACCCUCCGUUUCCAAACUGUUCUACUCUGCUACCUGAGAGCUUGCUCUCACCUCCCUGGGUCUAGAGGGAAUUUCCCACAGUCCUGUCUGAAGCUGAGUCACAGUGUGCCUGUCCUCCAUGCUCCACUCUUGGGCACCUACUUUCGCUUGGCUCCAGAGGUUCCCUUGUCCUCUACUGUGCCAGCCUGCCUGUGGGGAGAACAGAAUAUGAAGCCAACAGAGGAUCUGGGAAGGCAACUGGAAAAUGGUUAUUGACUAAGCUGGAAACUACCCAAAACGUAAAGUCUCGCUUUGAAACUAUCAUCUGAUAAAAUGGAGAACAAUAAAACUGAGAACAACGAAUAUAAAACAACUAUGGCCUUUCCAAUUCGGAGGCAUACAGAACUGAGAACUUGAGGAUCCACUGAGGUCUGGGGCACGGUGGUACCAGAAGAAAUGAAGGGACCUUCGGCAUGAAACUGGUCCCCUGUUGACAGCACCUUGAUCUCUCCAUUGGGCUCAAUCAGCAUGUCUACUGUCAGCUGGCAGCCGUGUGCACCUUGGCUCGGAUGCGGAAAUUCUCCAGGUGCCUCUGACGCGAUUCCUUCAGGAGCUUCCUCAGUCGAGUCUUGUGGCAAUGUAAAAGCCAAGCGAUAGAGAUCACGCCUGAUGCCCACUUCUGCUGGCGGUAAGUGAGGAAGAAUUUUCUCGCUCUGAAGCAUUUCCAUGUGGCUUGGAUCUUGCUGGCGGCCUCUGACUUACCACCUUGGCCCUUGUACCUCUGUCCUGGAAGAUUUAACAGCAUCUGGACGUGAAGUGGGUUCUCUAACACUGAGAGAAGGUUGUUUCGGGUAAGUUUAUUUGUCAGCUCAAACUCUGGAAGGAAGGCCAUCAAACUCCUCCCUUUUAUUUUGACUUCUGGUAUUGCAUAGUCCCUGAGAAACUUCUCAAUGUGUUCUAAGAGAGAAAAAAUGCUCCCCCAAGUUAAGCUGAAAUGUUCCUUGAAUGCUAAGAAGUCUGGGGCU